CACAACAACAUUCAGUACUGUUGUGUCUUGUAAAUAUUUUUCGAAGUUAACAUGAUUUAACAGGAAGCUAACAUGAUUUGGCAUUAAGCUAGUAUGAAUUAGCAUGAAUCUACCAUGAAUUAGCAUGAAUCUAACAUGAUUUAACAUGAAGCUAACAUUAUUUAGCAUGAGGUUAACCUAAUGCUAACAUGAAACUAGUAUGAAUGAACAAAGUUAACAUGAUUUAACACACGGUUAACCUUAUGCUAACAUGAAGCUAGUAUGAAUGAACAACGUUAACAUCAUUUAACAUUAGGUUAACCUUAUGCUAAUAUGAAUUAUCAUAAAACUAACAUGAUUUAACAUCAGGUUAACAUUAUGCUAACACAAAGUUAACAUGAUUUAACGUAAAGUUAACAUAAAGCUAGCAUGAUUUACCAUGAAGCGAACAUGAUUUAACAUAAGGUUAACAUGAAGCUAGCAUGAUUUAGCAAAGUGAACAUGAUUUAACAUGAUGUUAAUAACAUUAUGCUAACAUGAUCUGAAAUGAAGUUAACAUGGUUUAGCAUUAAGCCAACAUAAGGUUAACAGUAUGCAAACAUGAAGCCAACAUGAGGUUAACAUUAUGCUAACAUGAAGUUAACAUGAUUUCACAUGAGGUUAACAUUAUGCUAACAUGAAGCUAGCAUGAUUUAACAUGAAGCUAACAUGAUUUCACAUGAGGUUAACAUUAUGCUAACAUGAUCUUACAAAGUUAACAUUAAGUUAGCAUGAUUUAACAUUAACCAAACAUGAGGUUAACAUUAUGUUAACAUGAAGCCAACAUGAUUUAACAUGAGGUUAACAUUAUGCCAACAUGAAGCUAGCAUUAUUUAACAUGAGGUUAACAUAAUGUUAACUUUGUCAGAUCAUGUUAGCAUAAAGUUAGCAUGAUUUAACAUUAACCAAACAUGAGGUUAACAUUAUGCUAACAUGAAGCCAACAUGAUUUAACAUGAGGUUAACAUUAUGCCAACAUGAAGCUAGCAUGAUUUAACAUGAAGCUAGCAUGAUUUAACAUCAGGUUAAAAUUAUGCCAACAUGAAGCUAGCAUGAUUUAAUAUGAAGCUAAAAUGAUUUAACAUGAGGUUAACAUGUUAGGUUCAUGUUAGCAUAAAGUUAACAAAGUUAGCAUGAUUUAAUAUUAAGCAAGCAUGAGGUUAACAUUAUGCUAACAUGAAGCUAACGUGAAAUCACGUGAGGUUAACAUUAUGCUAACAUGAUUUGACAUGAGGUUAACAUUAUGCCAACAUGAAGCUAACAUGAUUUAACAUGAGGUUAAAAUUAUGCUAGCAUGAUCUGACAUACAUUUAACAUUAAGCUAGCAUGAUUUAACAUUAAGCAAACAUGAGGUUAACAUUAUGCUAACAUGAAGCUAGCAUGAUUUAACAUGAGGUUAACAUCAUGUCAGAUCAUGUUAGGUUCAUGUUAGCAUAAAGUUAACAAAGUUAGCAUUAUUUAACAUUAAGCCAACAUGGGGUUAACAGUAUGCUAACAUGACGCCAACAUGAUCUGACAAAGUUAACAUGAAGUUAGCAUGAUUUAAUAUUAAGCAAGCAUGAGGUUAACAUAAUGCUAACAUGAAGCCAACAUGAUUUAACAUUAUGCUAACAUGAAGCUAACGUGAAAUCACGUGAGGUUAACAUUAUGCUAACAUGAUUUGACAUGAGGUUAACGUUAUGCUAACAUGAAGCUAGCAUGAUUUAACAUGAAGCUAACAUGAUUUAACAUGAGGUUAACAUUAUGCUAACAUGAUCUGACAUGACGUUAACAUGAAGCUAGCAUGAUUUAUAUCGGCCUCAUUGCUUUCUUGAUAUCAGUAUAGGCCAUAAAAAAACAUAAUCGACCGACCACUACA